UACGUAGGGUGCAAGCGUUAAUCGGAAUUACUGGGCGUAAAGCGUGCGCAGGCGGUUAUGUAAGACAGAUGUGAAAUCCCCGGGCUUAACCUGGGAACUGCAUUUGUGACUGCAUCGCUGGAGUGCGGCAGAGGGGGAUGGAAUUCCGCGUGUAGCAGUGAAAUGCGUAGAUAUGCGGAGGAACACCGAUGGCGAAGGCAAUCCCCUGGGCCUGCACUGACGCUCAUGCACGAAAGCGUGGGGAGCA
rnacentral:rRNA from 1 species